AGCCACUUGUAGAGUUGGUGGGUCUUUAAAAAUCUCUACCAUCUAAAUUCUGCUUUUGCAUUUAAAAUUAUAAAUCUCAAAGAAGGAUAAAUAAGUCAAAUUACAUUAAGCUUAUCUCUGCAUUUUCUCUUGGAUCAGGAGGGUAAUUCUGAAAUUAUAUUCCUUAUCUUCCUGAUUUAAUUUCUUUACCUGGAAGAAGGAUACAAGGGAGCAAAAUGGGGUUCCUUUUUGGCGAUUUAGUGUGGUCCAACCACUGUAAGCACUCAGGUCUUAGAAGCAGACUAGGGCUUGUCGCAGCGUCCUUUGGCAGCAAAUCCAGUCUUACCACGGUGCCUGUGACUGCAAGCCCAAGCAAAGAAUGACUUUGGAAUAUAACACAAGGAAAGGUAAAACACAGCAUAAUACAGGUCUACAGGAGAAGGACAAACUGGACCCUUGUAUGCAUAUAUUUUUUUUUUUCUCCUUAGAAUGUCUAAAAUAUUUUAAUAGUGUUUCCAACAAUAUUGUAAAUAUGUAUUUUAGUUCCCAUUUUACAGUCUUGACAGAUAAAAGAAAGCUGACAAUGGUGUCGUUCUGUCAAUUUUAUUUUUUCAAUGUGAUCAAAAUGUGACUUCAUAGUAGUGACUUGAAGUUGCCAUAUUUCAAAUGCCUUGAGUAAGAGAAGUGCUUUCAUGUGUACAUUAUGUAUGCGAGAAAGAGAGAGGGAGAAAGGGAGAGAGGCAAAGACUGACAUUCAGCCAAGGUUUAACACUCAAAGUUUUCAUCAGAGUCAAAUAGAGAUUUAGAUUUAUCUGAAGACACACUGUAGUUGUUCCCAAGAGAUGGCUAUGUAAAGAGAUACAUCCUUUGGCAUCUAGUAAGCUGAAGGAAUUCAAUAUGUGUGUCAUUCCCUUAAAGAGUUGAAAUAUUUUUGAAGGAGGCAAAUAUAGUCCAGUCCAAGCACAUUUGUUCACAGUGUAUGAUGAUGCCCAAGCCAGAAAAAAAAAAAAAAAUAAUAUGGUCCCAUUUGUUCCUCAACUGCCAGUUUACUGACUCAAAGGUCAGGGGUGGAUUUCAUUCAGAAGGGCACUCACCAUUAGUACUAAUCACACUGUUAAUAGAAGAAAUGCCCUUUCAAAAUUAGGCAUGUUUGUUACUAUGUUCAUAGUAUUAAAGUCUCCAUCUGAUGGUGAAAUAUCUUUGCUAUGUCUUUGAAUUAUAUACGUACAUGGGUAUACGACUUGUGAUCUGAACAGGAAUAAAUAAGGACUUAAACUCUGCAAAUAUUACACAGGGGAUUGAGGAGGCCCUUUCUUUCUGGGAUUGAAUCAUUAUCAUGUUACUCCCUUUAUGUGCCCAAGCAGCACCAUUGAAAUUUAGUGGAAUGAAACAUGAGAAGAGCACUAGUUGAUCUCCAGAUAAAUAUUCAUUAUAAUGUUAGUGAAGUUGCAGCCAGUAUUUCACAGAGGAUGAAAUUUAACAAGAGAAAUGAGCAUGUCCUUUCAAGGCCCCUGAAAACUGACUGCUAGUGUUAGCAGCAGUUAUUACACUUUUAUUUUAUUCUUGAAACCAUGUUAUUUUUUCCUAUAGUUCUUGAAGGCAAUGGCUGUCUAGGUAAAAAAUGUAGAGCAACAUUCCAGCAGAUUUAAGUGUGACUAUUUCUUUUCCUAGUGAACUCUUUUUCUAUUCCUUUAACACUAAUAAAGGCACACCUUUUAUAUUCAUGGAAAUAUGACCAAGGACACAAUUUUGCAAUAUUUUUGGAAAGUUAUUUGUUUCAAGCAAUUUCAUACCAUAUACAGCAAGUUCUAGAAACCUGGACUCCUUAGGGCCAUUUUCUUGCCAACAGUAAGGUGAUCCCUGCCCCCUUCCCUGCCUCCAACACACUAAUUUUUUUAAGAGAGCUUUAGAAUGGCAACAGAAGGAUAGAGGGACCCUUAGGCUACUUCAGUCAAAAUAGUGAAUUUGUAAGGAAUUCUCAUUCUGUUUCAAGAAAGAAAAUUAUUGAUAAUCCUUUACUACCAGAUAUGCUGGCCUUAAAACAGACAAGAAAAGAUAUGGAAAAUAUAUUCAAAGCAAGAAAGGCAUCUGGCUUGGAUAAAAAGUGAAAAUUCCCUGAUGAAAUAGGUUUUAGGGAGGAAUUUGAAGUAUGUGAACUUGGCAGCCAAAAGGUUUUUUGGGGAGAAGGGUAGGCCAUGUGGGACACAAAAGAUAAAGUGCAGAAAAGACAAGUGCAAGAAAAGGAAGAGAAAAGGAAGGGAGCAGUAAAAGAAGCAUAAGGAGUCCAGUGAGGAAUGAAAGCAAAGGAUCACCCUGAGAUUCUGAAAGAUCUCACUGUAAGAUCUCAUUCUAAUUUUGAAAUAUUUGACAUUAACUUUAAUAAAUGAAGUGUUCUUCACCUCUAUCACAAUGCUUCCUGUCAGACUAUUUUUGAACCACCCAACCCCUCUGCUCUCCCUCUUUUCAUGCAAGCCAUGAUACAGUUCUCUUGAUGUUAGUGUUGUUUUCCACAUAUUUCCCCACUGAAAAUUGACAUUUAGAUAAGUCUUUAUUAUGGAAAGUCCACUACAAAAUAAAGCAGUAAAAAGAGGUCUCUGAAAAUUUGGAAAUAAUAGUUCCCUGUCAACUUAGUAGGAGGUCUGAAGAACUGAAUUAUAACUUCUGUUAUGCUGAGAGAGAAACAGUGGCUUGAUGAAUAUAGCACUCUGCAAGCAAAAGUAGAAAAUCUGGAAGCACAACAUAAACCAAGUCAGUCAGUUUAAUGUUGCAUGAAAAAUAGGGCAGGAUAAUGACCCAAUAAAUAGAACUAUGUAUUAGGUGUUUUGACUGUUGAAAAUCCAACUUGUGGGGCAAUCCUCAAAGAGCAGCAACAGAGAUAUUACCUACACAGUGUGUGAGUUGGUCCUGGAGGGAACAGGCUAGAGAAUACCCACACAGCCAUGCCACAGACAAAAACCACUGGGCCACAAGAAAUAAGAAGCCACAAUUUAUGAUAUCCAGGCAGCUUAUGGUGAGGAGCAAAGGACUUUCAAAGGGCUCUGGGACCAAUUGGGAUUGGCCAUGCAGAACAACAACCCGUGAUUGGCCAGAAGGCUUCUAGAACAUUCUAUGAGAGACUAUAUAUAUGUGUGUCAGCCACAAUUUGGGGUCUCUUGAAGCAGCCCCUUUAAGUUUUGUUUUACACCCUUGUUUGUGCCCUUUUAUUUAUUUAAUACAAUAAAUAGCAUGUCAGAGAGAUCACUGGCAGUUGGACAUAGGCUGCAACAACACAGUGCUGUAAACUGGCCAUGCAAGAGGAAGAGACCAUAGCCGCUUUUACACAUCACUAGCAGGCAAAGCAGAGAGAUUUGGCAGAAGAAUUAACCAAAACACCAUAAAGUUGUCUCGACAGAAGCUGAAUAGAAUAGCCAACUCUCACAAGCAAAAUUAUUAGUAUUAAGAAUUUUUUUAAAGGGAGAAAGCUAGAACAGAUAGCAGCAAUGAGAUGAACUCAGCAAGCAAACAGAAGAAGACAAGUGAACUCAAUGAUCUUAGAGGACAUACCCAGAGCUCUCAAUAUCCAAGUAAGCAUUUUAAGAACACUGAAAAGAAGUCUGAAAAUCACCAAGAUAACAAUUGCAAAACUGAUGAACAAUAGGCAGCUAAAUAUAGCACACAGGGCAUAAAGGAGCAGCAGCUGCAGGUGGCAAGCCUCUCAAGCAAGCAGAUACAGAUCCCACUUCUGCUGUGUCAGAUUGGGUCAUGGGACAUAGCUGGACUAUCUUGCCACCAGGGAAGUGGAACUAACUGCCACCACAACAAUACUGCCCAGAAAAGAGAAAGUCACUCCCCUCUUCUCAUCAGUAUCUCUCUGCUCUUCAAUGAUCCUGCUGCAAACUUUCCAUGGAAGUAAUACCAAAAGCCUGGUUCACAGGGAAUACAAAGUCAAGAUGCUAAAAACUUGGAAUGUAGAGGUGAAAAAUCCCCACUAGAACAGUUCUUGGAUCCCUGCCACUGAGAAGCCCAGGGUGAAGAGGAACCAGUGGUGUGCCCCUGGAUCCAUGCAUGCUGACUAUCCUCAGCUUGAUCUCUCUAUAUUUCUCUCUACCCAUCUCCACCCCCAUGACCCCUCUUCUAUAAAUUUUUAUGUUUCUACCUCACUUUUAGAGUUAAAUAAAAUCCAUAUUC